rnacentral:rRNA from 1 species
CAGCAGCCGCGGGAAUACGAAGGGGGCUAGCGUUGCUCGGAAUUACUGGGCGUAAAGGGAGCGUAGGCGGGUCGUUUAGUCAGAGGUGAAAUCCCGGGGCUCAACCUCGGAACUGCCUUUGAUACUGGCGACCUUGAGUAUGGGAGAGGUGAGUGGAACUCCGAGUGUAGAGGUGAAAUUCGUAGAUAUUCGGAAGAACACCAGUGGCGAAGGCGACUCACUGGCCCAUUACUGACGCUGAGGAGCGAAAGCGUGGGGAGCGAACAGGAUUAGAUACCCGCGUAGUCCCUGUCUCUUAUAC